GUUCUAGCUCUUUGCCAAGUGUCAUGACCCAUUUUAUCCCGGGCCCAAAAUUGAGAAUUCAAAGUCCAUAUUACAAAAUCAAAAAAUAAAAAAAACAAAUAAUUUAUAGCCCAAAAUAGCUUAAUCCAGUUACAACACUUAGCCCACUAAUCUAAACCCUAGCCCGAUUAUAGAGGCCCAACACCUAGCCUAACUGAGACUGAAACCCUAGCAACAUCGGCUCCCAGCGCCGCAGCAAUCAGGACCUAGCCUCUGCCCUCGCACGUGCG
rnacentral:lncRNA from 1 species